UUCCACCAAUGUUCCAUAGAACAGGCAACUCAGCGCAAACAUUCCCAUGGACAUAUUUCAUUCUGCACUACUGUUUCAGAGGGAUGAUGACAUAAUUCAGAUUGCUGACACUUGUUGGAAGGAUCCUUUUCAGUCGCCUACAAUGUUCUUUCCACAAGAAAAACCAGCCACUUGUGUUACCGGACUAUCAGGCGAGGAUGGAGCGACUAUCAAGCAAGGAUGGAGUCCUUAAUGGAAUCGGUACUCAAGUACAUAUUAUCUGCUCGUAAUGGACUUCACAAACAGCACUCAACAGUGCUCAAGUACAAACUGUAUCAAACUUUAAUUUUCACCUUAGAUUAAAACAUUAAGUAUUGGUAAUUUUAUCUCAGUACAUGCACUCAUAACUGUUAAAUUUUGAUUGAAUAAAAUAUUACUUGUAAUAUGA